CCUACGGGAGGCAGCAGUGGGGAAUUUUCCGCAAUGGGCGAAAGCCUGACGGAGCAAUACAGCGUGAGGGAAGACUGCCUAUGGGUUGUAAACCUCUUUUUUCAGGGAGGAAUAAAAUGACGUGUACCUGAAGAAUAAGCAUCGGCUAGCUCCGUGCCAGCAGCCGCGGUAAGACGGAGGAUGCAAGUGUUAUCCGGAAUCACUGGGCGUAAAGCGUCUGUAGGUGGUUUAAUAAGUCAACUGUUAAAUCUUGAGGCUCAACUUCAAAAUCGCAGUCGAAACUAUUAGACUAGAGUAUAGUAGAGGUAAAGGGAAUUUCCAGUGGAGCGGUGAAAUGCGUAGAUAUUGGAAAGAACACCGAUGGCGAAAGCACUUUACUGGGCUAUUACUAACACUCAGAGACGAAAGCUAGGGUAGCAAAUGGGAUUAGAUACCCCAGUAGUCCUAGCCGUAAACUAUGGAUACUAGAUGUUGAACAGAUCGACCUGUGCAGUAUCAAAGCUAACGCGUUAAGUAUCCCGCCUGGGAAGUAUGCUCGCAAGAGUGAAACUCAAAUGAAUUGACGGA
rnacentral:rRNA from 1 species